UUCCCCUUCUUUGUUAGUUGAUAGGGCGUAAAUAUUUUAAGUCUGCAUGUGUAUGCUAAAAGCGUCAUCUUGAUGAUUCAGUAUGACCAUAAUAGCUGAUUUAUGGCCAUGUUAGUGCCCUAAUGAUGGUGUUGUAGCGAUGUUCCUAGUAUAUGCAAACAAACAUAUUUCUUACCUGGUGCGUGCUUUUACUUGAUCUUGCAUACCUCCCUAUGUAUUUGCUUUUUUUUUCCUAACAAUCGGACUGAAUUUUGUGCUUGUUUGGAACUUAUCUACUACUAGACCCGAGACCCUGUUGAGCAUGUGAAGGUGGAACUAGCAUCGUCAUAGGCGUACCUGCAUGUUGCCGGGCAGGUGGCCUCCUGCUAGUAGAUGGUAGGCUCCCGAACAUCUAGUGUACUGUAGUCGCCUCUACGUCGCCUCUGCAGCAGUAGGGCACUUACUGGCCUCGUCUUCGAAGAAGGGAUGCAUGAAAGGAUACACAAUACCUGUUGUAGAUAUAUGACUACAUGCAGGGGUUAUUGCUGAAAAUUUGAGCGGGAGAGCUGCGCUGUGUGCUGACGGGCGGCGAACAUGCCACAUGCCGUGCUCUCGUGGCCUGGACCGAGAGGCAUGAGAGUACCCCUGCCCAGACCUAGACGAGGACCGAAGCCUGAUGCUACUCCAUGUCUUCAUUGGGUGUGGUUCAGCCAUAGACAAGGAGGAGAGGGAAGCUGGAACCGAUAGCCAUACUACUUGGAAUCAGGAUGACCCAGGGAACGCAGA